GGCCCUGAAGCUUGAUUCCAGUUUCCAAGUGGCCUUUUCCUGCGUAAGGUUCUACCAUUAGACCUUCACGAAUAGAAUUUAUCAGUUGUGGAGUAUUCUACUCUUUUGGUUUAUAAUGUCAACCGGUACCUCCUCAUAGAAUAGAUCUUCUUAAAGUAAAAGGGGUUCGUGGGAUAGGAUGUGUUAGUGGUACGGGUUAUACUUGCAUAACAUAGAUAUGUGAAACACAUUAUGAAUCCUAUAUAGCUCUGGAGGCAGUACCAGUCUGUAGUUGGUCGUACCAAUCCAGUAUAAGAUCUCAAAUGAUCCGAUGAACCGGGAAUUUAAUUUUUUCCUCUUGACAAAUCUACUGAUCCCCUUGAAAUGAGUGACCUUAAGAAAUACUCGGUCACCUUUUUCAAAUUCUAAAUCCCCCUAUAGGUGUUCAUAUAACUUUCAUGUUUGCUUUGAGCUAUCUGGAUGUUUUUUUUUUAUCUUCACUAUCUUGGCUGUAGUCUCCU
rnacentral:lncRNA from 1 species